rnacentral:rRNA from 1 species
UACGUAGGUGGCAAGCGUUGUCCGGAAUUAUUGGGCGUAAAGCGCGCGCAGGUGGUUCUUUAAGUCUGAUGUGAAAGCCCACGGCUCAACCGUGGAAGGUCAUUGGAAACUGGGGAACUUGAGUGCAGAAGAGGAAAGUGGAAUUCCAAGUGUAGCGGUGAAAUGCGUAGAUAUUUGGAGGAACACCAGUGGCGAAGGCGAGUCUCUGGACAGUUACUGACGCUGAGGCACGAAGGC